rnacentral:rRNA from 1 species
GUUAAGUGACUAAGCGUAUACGGUGGAUGCCUAGGCAGUUAGAGGCGAUGAAGGACGUGUAAGUCUGCGAUAAGCUGUGGAGAGCCGACAAAAUGCUUUGACCCACAGAUUUCCGAAUGGGGAAACCCACCGCUUCGGCGGUAUCUUAUAGUGAAUACAUAGCUAUAAGAAGCGAACGAGGGGAACUGAAACAUCUAAGUACCCUGAGGAAAAGAAAUCAAACGAGAUUCUCUUAGUAGCGGCGAGCGAAAGGGGAACAGCCUGCAAGUGAUAGCAGAAGUGUUAGUGGAAUAGUCUGGAAAGUCUAGCGAUACAGGGUGAUAGCCCCG